CCUACGGGAGGCAGCAGUGAGGAAUAUUGGUCAAUGGACGCAAGUCUGAACCAGCCAUGCCGCGUGCAGGAAGACGGCUCUAUGAGUUGUAAACUGCUUUUGUACGAGGGUAAACGCAGAUACGCGUAUCUGUCUGAAAGUAUCUUACGAAUAAGGAUCGGCUAACUCCGUGCCAGCAGCCGCGGUAAUCCGGAGGAUUCAAGCGUUAUCCGGAUUUAUUGGGUUUAAAGGGUGCGUAGGCGGUCGGUUAAGUUAGCGGUGAAAUCCCGGGGCUCAACUUCGGAAUUGCCGUUGAGACUGGUCGGCGAGAGAGGAGGUGCGGUAGGCGGAAUGUAUGGUGUAGCGGUGAAAUGCUUAGAGAUCGUACAGAACACCGAUUGCGAAGGCAGCAUACCAAGCGACGUCUGACGUUGAGGCACGAAAGCGUGGGGAGCAAACAGGAUUAGAUACCCGGGUAGUC
rnacentral:rRNA from 1 species